AAUCAGGCAAGUUAAAGGAUCCAGCCCAAAUUUCAUGCGAUAGCUGACAUAAUUUCCUUAGCCAAAUCUCAUGAAAAUGAAAUGGUUCAAAAGUGGGCUUUGAUUGCAUAAUACACAUCAAUAUCCAUUGACAUGUUGGAUGUUAAUGCUCCUUCAAGCGUGAGUUAGAAUUGAAUGGCUUACAUACUGUUGCUUUCCUAUGUGUCUCAACUAAAUCAGUUGUCCAGGAAAAUUGAAAACAGAAGGGCCUUAUACAAUGAUUCAUGUCUCAACGGUUUCUAACAUAUUGAUGGAAGGUUUCAAAACCAAUUCAAAUCGUGUAGGCAUUCCCAUUAUUGUCAACUUUAUAAUUCAAGGACUGCAAAG
rnacentral:misc_RNA from 1 species